rnacentral:tRNA from 1 species
GGAGAAGUGCCAGAGCGGUUGAAUGGGUCACUCUCGAAAAGUGAAGUGGGGGCAACCCCACCAAGGGUUCAAAUCCCUUCUUCUCCU